AAUUAAUAUUGUACAGCUGCGUGAAAAAGUCCUGCACGCUUUCAGUUUUAAGCUGUAUUUACAUGUUUAAUCAACUUUUCACUCAUAGAAACCACGCAAAAUUAGUACUUCGAUGAAAAUUUAUGUAGUCGGAUUGAGAUGCAUAAUUUUUAUUAAUAUAACUAAAGUCUU